rnacentral:rRNA from 1 species
GAUGAACGCUAGCUACAGGCUUAACACAUGCAAGUCGAGGGGCAGCAUGAACUUAGCUUGCUAAGUUUGAUGGCGACCGGCGCACGGGUGAGUAACACGUAUCCAACCUGCCGAUGACUCGGGGAUAGCCUUUCGAAAGAAAGAUUAAUACCCGAUGGCAUAGUUCUUCCGCAUGGUAGAACUAUUAAAGAACUUCGGUCAUCGAUGGGGAUGCGUUCCAUUAGGUUGUUGGCGGGGUAACGGCCCACCAAGCCUUCGAUGGAUAGGGGUUCUGAGAGGAAGGUCCCCCACAUUGGAACUGAGACACGGUCCAAACUCCUACGGGAGGCAGCAGUGAGGAAUAUUGGUCAAUGGACGAGAGUCUGAACCAGCCAAGUAGCGUGAAGGAUGACUGCCCUAUGGGUUGUAAACUUCUUUUAUACGGGAAUAAAGUGAGGCACGUGUGCCUUUUGUAUGUACCGUAUGAAUAAGGAUCGGCUAACUCCGUG